rnacentral:rRNA from 1 species
AUUGAACGCUGGCGGCAUGCCUUACACAUGCAAGUCGAACGGCAGCACGGGAGCAAUCCUGGUGGCGAGUGGCGAACGGGUGAGUAAAGUAUCGGAACGUGCCCAGUCGUGGGGGAUAACGUAGCGAAAGUUACGCUAAUACCGCAUACGAUCUAUGGAUGAAAGCGGGGGAUCGCAAGACCUCGCGCGAUUGGAGCGGCCGAUAUCAGAUUAGGUAGUUGGUGGGGUAAAGGCUCACCAAGCCGACGAUCUGUAGCUGGUCUGAGAGGGCGGCCAGCCAAACUGGGACUGAGACACGGCCCAGACUCCUACGGGAGGAAGCAGUGGGGAAUUUUGGACAAUGGGCGAAAGCCUGAUCCAGCCAUGCCGCGUGCAGGAUGAAGGCCUUCGGGUUGUAAACUGCUUUUGUACGGAACGAAAAGGUUUGGCCUAAUAAGCUGAGCUCAUGACGGUACCGUAAGAAUAAGCACCGGCUAACUGCGUGCCAGCCGCCGCGGUAA